AUGCAUGUGUCCCCCUCCACUGUACAAGCCUACGUACAUCGCCGCACAGUGCCGCCAUUGACGGGAGCAGAGCAGCUUGUGUCUGCUGCAGUCGCGCGAUGGCUACCCGAACCAGAGGCCGAGGCUGUCGAGGACGCGGACGCCGAAGAAGGUGAGGUAGAUGACGAUGAGGCCCACCCCGUACACCCGGUCCAGCCGCAUGCCCCUCGCCGGCACCACCACCGCCGCCCACGCCAGCCCCGCGCACAGGAACCCCACCGUCUCGUACACGGCGGAGUCGGCCGGCAGCGUGAACGGCGCCGGGUACUGCGCGCCGGCCGCCAGCGUGAGGGAUAG
rnacentral:rRNA from 1 species